rnacentral:sRNA from 1 species
UCCCUGUACAACAAGGCGUUUUAUGGAC